GACGAACCCGUGCGAACGUUGUUCGGAAUCACUGGGCUUAAAGGGCGCGUAGGCGGGCUGGCAAGUCCGGGGUGAAAUCCGUCGGCUCAACCGCCGGACUGCCUCGGAUACUGCCGGCCUGGAGGCGGGUAGGGGCGGCGGAACUCUGGGUGGAGCGGUGAAAUGCGUUGAUAUCCAGAGGAACUCCGGUGGCGAAGGCGGCCCGCUGGACCCGGUCUGACGCUGAGGCGCGAAAGCCAGGGGAGCGAAC
rnacentral:rRNA from 1 species